rnacentral:rRNA from 1 species
CGAGUGAAGUGGGAAAAGCUCAACUUUGUAAUCUGGCUCUUUCAGAGUCCGAGUUGUAGUCUCGAGAAGCAACAUCCGCAUCGGACCUUGGAUAUAUCUGUUGGAAAACAGUGUCAUAGAGGGUGACAAUCCCGUUUGUGCCAAGGACGACCGCGUGCAUUGUGGUGUGCUUUCCAAGAGUCGAGUUGUUUGGGAAUGCAGCUCAAAUUGGGUGGUAAAUUCCAUCUAAAGCUAAAUAUUGGCGAGAGACCGAUAGCGAACAAGUACCGUGAGGGAAAGAUGAAAAGCACUUUGGAAAGAGAAUGAAACAGUAUGUGAAAUUGCUGGAAGGGAAACGAUUGAAGUUAGACUUGCGUGGGCCGCAUUCAGCCUUUUUGGUGUACUUGCGGCUCGUUGCAGGCCAGCAUCGGUUUGCUUCGUGGAAUAAGGGUGCGCGGGAUGUAGCUUCUUUUGAAGUGUUAUAAACGCGCACUGGAUGCCAAGUCGCAGACCGAGGAACGCAGCGCGUUUGUAGUGCCUUUAGGUACAGAGCGCUUAGG